rnacentral:rRNA from 1 species
GAUGAACGCUGGCGGCGUGCCUAAUACAUGCAAGUCGAGCGAACAGAUGAGGAGCUUGCUCCUCUGACGUUAGCGGCGGACGGGUGAGUAACACGUGGAUAACCUACCUAUAAGACUGGGAUAACUUAGGGAAACCGGAGCUAAUACCGGAUAAUAUAUUGAACCGCAUGGUUCAAUAGUGAAAGACGGUUUUGCUGUCACUUAUAGAUGGAUCCGCGCCGCAUUAGCUAGUUGGUAAGGUAACGGCUUACCAAGGCAACGAUGCGUAGCCGACCUGAGAGGGUGAUCGGCCACACUGGAACUGAGACACGGUCCAGACUCCUACGGGAGGCAGCAGUAGGGAAUCUUCCGCAAUGGGCGAAAGCCUGACGGAGCAACGCCGCGUGAGUGAUGAAGGUCUUCGGAUCGUAAAACUCUGUUAUUAGGGAAGAACAAAUGUGUAAGUAACUAUGCACGUCUUGACGGUACCUAAUCAGAAAGCCACGGCUAACUACGUG